rfam:Acidobacteriales bacterium 13_2_20CM_55_8 13_2_20cm_scaffold_460, whole genome shotgun sequence.
CAGCCGGGGGAAGGACCCGCCCAGACAGAUGUUGGUUAGGUCUGGUAGCUAACGAGCAUUGAAGCUGGGAAACCGGCUGCAAUGAAGCCUCGUGACAAAGCCCACGGAUGGUGGGCGAGCAACUUUGCAGGCCGUAACGCGA